rnacentral:tRNA from 1 species
UCCCUGGUAGCUCAAUGGCAGAGCGGGCGGCUGUUAACCGCUAGGUUAGAGGUUCGAGUCCUCUCCGGGGAG